rnacentral:rRNA from 1 species
AUACGUAGGGGGCGAGCGUUGUCCGGAAUGACUGGGCGUAAAGGGCGUGUAGGCGGCGGUGUAAGUCUGGAGUGAAAGUCCCGCAUUCAAUGUGGGAAUUGCUUUGGAUACUGCAGUGCUAGAGUGCGGAAGAGGUAAGUGGAAUUCCCAGUGUAGCGGUGAAAUGCCUAGAUAUGCCACAGAACGCCGAUAGCGGAGGCCGCUCGCCAGGCCUGCAUUGACGCUCGGGCACGAAAGCGUGGGGAUCGAACAGGAUUAGAUACCCUGGUAGUCCACGCCGUAAACGAUGGGCGCUCGUCGUCGGCGACAGACAGUCGGCGGCCAAGCGAAAGCGAUAAGCGCCCCACCUGGGGAGUACGGUCGCAAGGCUGAAACUCAAAUGAAUUGGCGGGG